rnacentral:rRNA from 1 species
CACGUAGGGUGCGAGCGUUGUCCGGAAUUAUUGGGCGUAAAGAGCUCGUAGGCGGUGUGUCGCGUCGGCCGUGAAAACCUGCAGCUUAACUGUGGGCUUGCGGUCGAUACGGGCAUCACUGGAGUUCGGCAGGGGAGACUGGAAUUCCUGGUGUAGCGGUGAAAUGCGCAGAUAUCAGGAAGAACACCAAUGGCGAAAGCAGCGCUCUGGGACGGUACUGACGCUGAGACGCGAAAGCGUGGGGAGCGAACAGG